UUUUUUUCUCUUUUUCUUUUCUUCUCUUUCUCUCUCUUUUCUCGUCGUCUCUGUCCUCUCUGGUUCUCCUCGGGAUGACGAUGGGUUUUCUUUCGUGAGACCUCUCUUCUGCCAUUGAAAUUGCUCUUAAAGCUUCACCAGUCGUCGGAUUAUUACCUCCUCUCCCUUCUAGUCGCCCUUGUAGCCUCAGGGUACUUCCCCUGUCCAACCUCUCCGUGAUCAUUCAAUAGCCUCCAAAAUGUUAUCGGAGUCAAGAUUAAGCUCAAUGUUAAAGAGCUGGCGAUUCAGUUUGGCUGCGUUAGGAUCAUCAAAUCUAUGCAAAACAUGUUAUCUUUCUUAAGGUAGAUAAGCUUAGCUUGGUUGAGGUUUGUGGAACAUCAGAAUCUGAAUUCUCUUGUGUCUCCACCUCCAUGAUAGAUCUUUGCUAUGACUGUGUUGGGGUCUCUAAGGAGAAGAAAGAUGCAAAAGAAGUUAAAGGAAACCGGGAGUUGCUUGAUGUGUUACCUGGAAAGAUCUUUGAGGAUGUGCAAUCUUUUUGAUCUAUAUCACAUAUGGUUCUUACCCAUUGAGAGGGAAGUAUUGUCAUGAGAUGGCUUUGAGGAUCCUCCUUGCCAGCAUUGAGGUUUGUUUAUCUUAAUCUUUUCCUCUUUUCGAUAUAACAUUCUUGUGUCUUGUGCUGAUAAACGAUGAGAACACGAUAUGUUGAUUGUGUAAUGUUUUUAUGUCUUUAUGUGUCACGGGUGGAGCAUUGCGAGUUGUUCUGUUGUUUUUUUUUUUUUUUUGUGUCAUGGAAUAGUUUUGUUGUUUUUUUGUGUCAUUGUCUUUAAAAUACUAUCUUGUACUGAACAACUCUUGUAAACGAUUUGUGCGAUCUU